UAGUGUUGAACGAUUCGCUGAUAAUAGUGCACGCUAAAGUACAUCAGAACGUUGUAAUACCUUGCAAACCCACCUCCCCAUCCGUAAACGUUACCUUAAAUACGGUCGAUGAAGAGGUAACAGGUCUUGAAUAUAAUCCGAAAGUCGGAUACAUUAUGCCAAACGUCAAAGUUACAGAUUCUAGUAUUCUUAAUUGCGCUGCUACAUACGGUGACAUUGAAUCUCCACAAUACAUUAUACAAAUUAUAGUCAAUCCUGCUGACAGUGAAAUUUCAAACCCAUUCAUAGACGUUUCAAAUGCUUUCAACCUGGCAGAAGGAGAUAACGCUACGUUAAGCUGUUCCAUAACUAUUAGUACUGGCGAUAUUAUUGGAUUAGA